AACCAACCACACUGAGUACAGUACGUGUGUGAAUAACAUAGAAAAUGACCGAUAUCGCUGUAGAAUCUAGGCUGAGUCAAAAAUAGUUUAUAUAGUUAGUUACUGUUGGCAGAAAGAAGAACAGUUUAGAGUAGAUUCAAUGUAGGUAUUGAUUAGAGCUUUAUUAAAAUGACAUCCAGUGGAAAGAAGUUUGAAUUUGAAUAUGUUAUUGGAACCAACCCAGAAUGUAUUGAAGAAAGAGAAAAGAAAACAGCAGAGGAAGUAGCAAAGUCAUAUGAUGAAUGGGUUGACAAGAAAUUAUACGAAGCGGAUAUGGAAGUUAGGGGUUAUUAUGGUCCACAGUUAACUGCUGAUACAGCUGCGCUGAUGUUCCCUGACAAUAGAGAAAAGGUUCGGAUCGUAGAUAUGGGUGCCGGUACCGGACUGCUUGCUAUUAAAUUACGGGAACAUGGAUUUGAGCAAAUUGACGCAGUUGAUCCAAGUGAAGUAUCGAUGAAAGUUGCUAUGGAGAAGAAUCUGUAUGGAAGAUAUGUGGUAGAUUUUGUUGAUGAAAAACGAUUAGAUAUAAAAACAGAUGAAUAUGAUGGUCUUGUCAGUUCUGCUGCAUUAACACCCGGUUCAAUGCCUUCUAUCGCAUUAAAGGAAUUUAUUAGGGUUGUUAAACCAGGUGGAUAUGCAUGCUUUUCUACACCAGAAUAUGUCUUAAGAUUAAGUACGGAACUUCGAGACCACUUUGAACCAUUAAUGGAAAGAUAUGUAAAGGAGGGUGCAUGGAAAAGGAUAUUAAAAGCCGUUGUUCCAGGUUAUUUCGAUAAUAAACCAGGUGUUCUGUACGUUUUCAGAAUUUUAAAAUCUGAAAUUUAAAAAUUAACCUUUAAAAAAUAAAACUUUUCACUUAUGCAUA